rnacentral:lncRNA from 1 species
GAGACAGCUCAUAUUCCAUUCGUUCUAGGUUUUUCUCCCACCUGCUCACAAAAGCUGUGAGCCUCCUAGAAGUGCUCCUGAGUAGUUUAGGGGUGUGCUUAGAUGCAGCCUACUAUAUCCACUGCCAGUGACAGCAAGGCCUAGCUCAGAAGAGAUGUCCACUGGCUUCCCCCAUCACCUCCAAGCUCUCCCUACCAGUCAGGGCAUUUGGUAUGUGUGAGGCCUUUGGUAUGUGAAGAACACCUCUCUACCCUUUGUGUCACAUUCAAUCAACAUAUCCCAAACUAAGCUGUGGUGCCUCCUAUCUUAUUGGCUUUUUCACUAGGAGAUCUCAGUUUACUCACAUGCCCCUGCCCUAUAAAGAAACCAGCCAUGAAUUCAAGGGCUAGUCCAGGUGCUGGCUCGACUCCGGAUUGCACUUCCCGUCAGCAACUAAGGGUCAAUGUGUCACGUCUGCCCCUUAGGAAGCCAUUCAUGCCCUCACCCAAGGAACCUUCUAGUUAGCCUAGCUGCCUCAUUCAGUUAAGUCUGUACCCACUUAUCCCCAGUCGGAGAUCCUUUGUCCAUGAGAGGAGAGAGACCACUAGAGAAAGCCACAGUGACAGCCACCCUCUCUGUGUGGCCGUCUGAGGCAGCUGAGAAGACCUGGGCCUGAGCACUGGGGAGAAAGGAUUGCUCCACUCCAAGGGAAAAGCAAAUUGACAUCAGAUUAUUUUCCUACAGCUUUUCCCACUUCUUAAUAUUUGCCACAUUGCAUUCCACAUUCCAAUUUUCAAAAGGACAGGAGCAUUAAUAAUAUAAAAGAAAGAAGUGAAAUUAACCGGAAUCAAGAACUUUAUUAUUUUCAAGUGUAAAAAAAGCAUGAGAUUUAUGGCUGAGCAUCAAGUAUAGCUUUGACCUGAAAUGUUCUCUUCGAGAUACCAGGGGAACCACCUGGCUUAGAACCAGACCUGCAGGGAUACUGUGACACUUCAAUAAAUCAAAUUAAAGUUAUUUAUUAAGUUGGGUCAGAUUUCGGAUUUCUCAGUUUUUCUUGCUUGCUGUCGUUUUUGCUUUCUUUUAAAGGUUUCUAAAUUUCUUAAUUUAAUAGAGAAUAAGGCCUUCUCUCUCAAUUACCUACUUCCCAUUCGGAUCUGCUGAGUUUUAACUUCCAUAUGUUACUCAGAACACUAAAAGCCCAUUUAUAAAUAUUAAUUCAGGUAAUGACUGUUUAAGAGCUUCAAGGCCCCAAUUCAUUAUCUCUUUUUGAUAUCAGCUCAGGCUUCGAUUCACACAUUUCCAAUUUAACUGAGGGUAGAGGGGAAGCAAAAAAAAAUUACUUUUGGAGAAAAGAAAGUUGACUUGUCCUGGUGUUUCAAGCCAGCAUCCCAGUAAAAACUGAUACCUCUCUUUAGUUCUAGCACCAGUUGAGGAGUAGGGAGAAAGACGCUGAACAUUUUUUAACAUAGAUCAGGACUUCUAUAUCAUUACUUUAUUGAAAGUGCUGUGCAUACAUAAGCAAGGUACAUUUGCACUUUUUGGCACUGAAACCCAGAUCUGCAGGGGCACACAGCACUCCCUCCUCCCAUGUGAAGCUUCAAACACUACACUUGAGCAGUUUCGGUCCAUGCAUGUAAAGAGAUAAAUGUUUCCUGAGCAUUUUAAAGAAUACAUCCCCAUCCCCACCCCAGGAAGACAAAGAAUUGUGGCUCCUACAUAUUCUUGCCUAAGGUUGUACAAUGGGCCCAAAGAAGCUGUGGGAUCUGAAGAUGAUGUUUCUGUCACCUACAGCUAGCUUCUCUUUGGUAAUUGCUAAAAAUGCAUAUUCCUGCACCCCCAUCAUCUGAAUCAUAAUCUCUUUUGUUGACUGGGGAAUCUUUUUGUUUGUUUCUUUGUUCUUUUUAGACAUGCAUGACAGUAGAGUAUUUUUUUUCUGCUUUAAAAAAAUUGUUAGUGCAUGCUAAUUAUUCAGAAUAGUGACUUUUAUUAUGACAUAUUCAUACAUGCAUAUAACUUAUUUUUGUUCUUUUUAGAUAUACAUGACGGUAGAGUAUAUUCUGACAUAUUAUACAUACAUGAAAUAUAAGUUAUUCUAAUUAGGAUCCCAUUAUUGCAGUUGUACAUGAUGUGGAGUUUCACUGGUAGUGUAUUCAAAUGUGAACAUAGGAAAGUUAUGUCCUUAUUCAUUCUACUGUCUUCCUUAUUCCCAUUCCCUCUACUUUCCCUUCCUUCCCUUUAGUCUAAUCCAGUGAGCUUGACUGGUGAUUUUUUUUUUUAAUACCAGGGAUUGAACUCAGGGGCACUUGACCACUGAGCUACAUCCCCAGCCCUAUUUUGUAUUUUAUUUAGAGACGGGGUCUCACUGAAUUGCUUAGCACCUCACUUUUGCUGAGGCUGGCUUUGAACUCGUGAUCCUCCUGCCUCAACCUCUGGAGCCACUGGAAUUAGAGGCAUGAGCCACUUUGCCCAGCUUGACUGGGAAUCUUCAGUUUUGUUUGUUUGUUUGUUUGUUUGUUUGUUUUUAGAUGGGGUCUCACUGUGUUGCCCAGGCUGGCUUCAAACUCUCUAUCCUCCCAUCUUAACCUCCAAAGUAGCUGGGAUUACAGGCAUGCAUCAUCACAUUCAGAGGAAUCUUUACUUUUUUAGCAGAUUCCUCUGGCACAUUACUAUUUGAGAGUUACUUCACCAAAUUCUAAAAGGAAACUAA